GAUGAACGCUGGCGGCGUGCCUAAUACAUGCAAGUAGAACGCUGAAGGAAGGAGCUUGCUCUUUCCGGAUGAGUUGCGAACGGGUGAGUAACGCGUAGGUAACCUGCCUGGUAGCGGGGGAUAACUAUUGGAAACGAUAGCUAAUACCGCAUAACAGUAGAUGUUGCAUGAUAUCUACUUAAAAGGUGCAAUUGCACCACUACCAGAUGGACCUGCGUUGUAUUAGCUAGUUGGUGAGGUAACGGCUCACCAAGGCGACGAUACAUAGCCGACCUGAGAGGGGGAGCGGCCACACUGGGACUGAGACACGGCCCAGACGCCUACGGGAGGCAGCAGUAGGGAAUCUUCGGCAAGGGACGGAAGUCUGACCGAGCAACGCCGCGUGAGUGAAGAAGGGUGUCGAAUCGUAAAGCUCGGUUGUAGGAGAAGAACGAGUGUGAGAGUGGAAAGUUCACACUGUGACGGUAUCUUACCAGAAAGGGACGGCUAACUACGUG
rnacentral:rRNA from 1 species